rnacentral:rRNA from 1 species
GAUGAACGCUGGCGGCGUGCCUAAUACAUGCAAGUCGAGCGAACAGACGAGGAGCUUGCUCCUCUGACGUUAGCGGCGGACGGGUGAGUAACACGUAGAUAACCUACCUAUAAGACUGGGAUAACUUCGGGAAACCGGAGCUAAUACCGGAUAAUAUAUUGAACCGCAUGGUUCAAUAGUGAAAGACGGCUUUGCUGUCACUUAUAGAUGGAUCCGCGCCGCAUUAGCUAGUUGGUAAGGUAACGGCUUACCAAGGCAACGAUGCGUAGCCGACCUGAGAGGGUGAUCGGCCACACUGGAACUGAGACACGGUCCAGACUCCUACGGGAGGCAGCAGUAGGGAAUCUUCCGCAAUGGGCGAAAGCCUGACGGAGCAACGCCGCGUGAGUGAUGAAGGUCUUCGGAUCGUAAAACUCUGUUAUUAGGGAAGAACAAAUGUGUAAGUAACUAUGCACGUCCUGACGGUACCUAAUCAGAAAGCCACGGCUAACUACGUG